AACGAACGCUGGCGGCAUGCCUAACACAUGCAAGUCGAACGAGAGCUUCGGGUCUAGUGGCGCACUGGGGCGUAACGCGUGGGAACCUGCCCUUAGGUUCGGAAUAACUCCCCGAAAGGCGUGCGAAUACCGGCUAUUGUCUUCGAACCAAAGGUUUGUUGCCUUUGGGUGGGCCCGGGUUGUCUUGGCUGGUUGUUAGGGUAAAAGCCUAUCACGGCGACAAUGCAUAGCUGGUUUGAGAGGCUGAUCAGCCACACUGGUCCUGGGACACGGCCCAGACUCCUACGGGAGGCAGCAGUGGGUGAUAUUGGAAAGUGGGCGAAAGCCUGGUCCAGCAAUGCCGCGUGAGUGCUGAAGGCCUUAGGGUUGUAAAGCUAUUUUACCCGGGAUGAUAAUGACAGUACCGGGAGAAUAAGCUCCGGCUAACUCCGUG
rnacentral:rRNA from 1 species